CCCCCCGCACUUGUUCUUCCCGGUUAUUUGUUAUUGUCUCAGUGCUAUCGAGUGUUUGUCUCUUUAUUCCCCCUUUUUCCAGCAAAGAAAAGGAGAAGUUAAUUAAAUAUGGAGCGAUGCGGAGAGGCAUCUCUUUAAACCAUCAUGUCAUUAAAAUGGCGUCCCUGGGAGAUGGGCUUAAAAGGAGCCGGAGAACAAUGUCUUCCCAGUCAGAUAUUUAUGGGAUGCGUUAUGUAAACACACUCCUUUUAUUCUCUAUGUAUAUUUCAUGUAAUUAUCACUUUUUGUCGAGAUGCUUCCCGGAAACCCUCUAGGGGAACGUCAUUAGAAAAGACCAAUAUUACGACGAAGCAAAGCUUCUGGAAUACGCAGCAGAGUGGAUGGGACAGAGAGGAGGGAUUAAACCGCAGGAUUGAUUCCCAGCUGUGCCGUGUGCCGUCCGAGUCGAUGGCAAAGCAACUGCCCACUUCACCAGCUGAGAGGCUAUGCACAGCACGGGGUGUUCCUUCUGUCUUCCUCAGGGACUGGUGGACUUUUUCAGCAUGGCUUCAGCAGUUCUUCCAGCAUGCUGGAAUCAACCCUUGGCAUCCCUGAAUCAUAAGUAACAAAUGAAACACUUGGGGACAUGCUGUUAUAGUCUAAUAAUCAAUCACAGGGUGGUGUGAAGCACCUGACUCAAGGAGAGUCACUAUUAUUUCCCCGAGGUUGAUUGUUUUCCUGUUCCAUCGUGUUUUCUUCUGCUUUUAACACAGCGGUUUGCUAACAAAUAAUAAAAAUAGUUUUGUUUUUA